GUGCAGCAUGGGCCCUCGUGCUCAUGUUGUGGAAUCACAUCCUUAACACCUGUGAACUGUCUGUCAAGAACAAGGCUUCGGCUUUGGACUUGUACACUUUACCAAACUUUACUCUGUAAAAAAUGUCAUCUUAUUAUAACUUAAUAAAACUUUUAACAACGGAUCUCUUGGCUCUCGCAUCGAUGAAGAACGCAGCGAAAUGCGAUAAGUAAUGUGAAUUGCAGAAUUCAGUGAAUCAUCGAAUCUUUGAACGCAAAUUGCGCUCCUUGGUAUUCCGAGGAGCAUGCCUGUUUGAGUGUCAUGAAAUCAUCCACCCUGACUUUUGGUUUAUUCCAUUGGUCUUGGCUGGGAUUUGGGUGUUUGCCUCUGAUAAAGCGGCUCACCUUAAAGUGAUUUCGGAUUGACUCUGUCUGCAGUCGGUUUGACUUGGCAUUAUAAGUUAUUUUGCUAAGGACAUCUUCGGAUGGCCGAUCAAUGACAGCUGUCUUGUGCUGCGUGUGUCUUCACACUUCCAGUACGCUCCAUCUUUUGACAUCUGGCCUCAAAUCAGGUAGGACUACCCGCUGAACUUAAGCAUAUCAAUAAGCGGAGGAAAAGAAACUAACAAGGAUUCCCCUAGUAACGGCGAGUGAAGCGGGAAGAGCUCAAAUUUGAAAUCUGGCUGCCUUCGGCGGUCCGAGUUGUAAUCUAGAGAA
rnacentral:rRNA from 1 species